UGGGGAAUUUUCCGCAAUGGGCGAAAGCCUGAUGCAGCAACGCCGUGUGAGCGAGGAAGGCCUUCGGGUCGUAAAGCUCUGUUGUUGGGGACGAAGGGCGAAGGGUUAAUAGCCCCCAGCCUGACGGUACCCUUCGAGGAAGCCCCGGCUAACUACGUGCCAGCAGCCGCGGUAAUACGGAGGAGGCAAGCGUUAUCCGGAAUUAUUGGGCGUAAAGCGUCCGCAGGUGGUGAUUCAAGUCCGCUGUCAAAGACCGGGGCUCAACCCUGGGCCGGCAGUAGAAACUGAAGCACUAGAGUUCGGUAGGGGUAGAGGGAAUUCCCAGUGUAGCGGUGAAAUGCGUAGAGAUUGGGAAGAACACCAGUGGCGAAAGCGCUCUACUGGGCCGAGACUGACACUCAGGGACGAAAGCUAGGGGAGCGAAAGGGAUUAGAUACCCCCGUAGUCC
rnacentral:rRNA from 1 species